rnacentral:misc_RNA from 1 species
GUACCUUUAAUCAAAUUCUACGAUUAUGAGGCAAAGUACUCUCCGGGCGCAUCAAAACACAUCCUGCCUGCACCUAUUUUACCUUUUGUUUACCAGGAAGUCCGAAGGUUAACGCUGGCGGCGCAUGUGGCGCUUGGCUGCCGGGGCGUAAGCCGUGCGGACUUCCGUUACGACGAUCGCAUCGAGGGAACAGGGGGAUUGACCUGCCUCGAGGUGAACACCCAACCCGGCAUGACCGAGACGUCACUUGUUCCAGAGCUUGCGGCUCACGCAGGCGUAACAUUUGACGAGUUGGUGCAAUGGAUGGUGGAGGACGCCUCUCUCGAUCGGUGAGAUCGCAGAGGCCCCAAUCUAAUCCUCAGACGAGGGGCGCUUCCGCAGCCCAGCGUCCGCGCGCCCGCGCGCA